CUACGUGCCAGCAGCCGCGGUAAUACGUAGGUGGCAAGCGCUGUCCGGAAUUAUUGGGCGUAAAGCGCGCGCAGGCGGAUUGGUCAGUCUGUCUUAAAAGUUCGGGGCUUAACCCCGUGAUGGGAUGGAAACUGCCAAUCUAGAGUAUCGGAGAGGAAAGUGGAAUUCCUAGUGUAGCGGUGAAAUGCGUAGAUAUUAGGAAGAACACCAGUGGCGAAGGCGACUUUCUGGACGAAAACUGACGCUGAGGCGCGAAAGCCAGGGGAGCGAACGGGAUUAGAUACCCCGGUAGUCCUGGCCGUAAACGAUGGGUACUAGGUGUAGGAGGUAUCGACCCCUUCUGUGCCGGAGUUAACGCAAUAAGUACCCCGCCUGGGGAGUACGACCGCAAGGUUGAAACUCAAAGGAAUUGACGGGGGCCCGCACAAGCGGUGGAGUAUGUGGUUUAAUUCGACGCAACGCGAAGAACCUUACCAGGUCUUGACAUUGAUGGACAGAACUAGAGAUAG
rnacentral:rRNA from 1 species